AUUGAACGCUGGCGGCAUGCUUUACACAUGCAAGUCGAACGGUAACAGGCCGCAAGGUGCUGACGAGUGGCGAACGGGUGAGUAAUGCAUCGGAACGUGCCCAGUCGUGGGGGAUAACGCAGCGAAAGCUGCGCUAAUACCGCAUACGAUCUAUGGAUGAAAGCGGGGGACCGUAAGGCCUCGCGCGAUUGGAGCGGCCGAUGUCAGAUUAGGUAGUUGGUGGGGUAAAGGCUCACCAAGCCAACGAUCUGUAGCUGGUCUGAGAGGACGACCAGCCACACUGGGACUGAGACACGGCCCAGACUCCUACGGGAGGCAGAAGUGGGGAAUUUUGGACAAUGGGCGCAAGCCUGAUCCAGCAAUGCCGCGUGCAGGAAGAAGGCCUUCGGGUUGUAAACUGCUUUUGUACGGAACGAAACGGCUCUCACUAAUACUGGGGGCUAAUGACGGUACCGUAAGAAUAAGCACCGGCUAACUACGUGCCAGCCGCCGCAGUAACAC
rnacentral:rRNA from 1 species